rnacentral:lncRNA from 1 species
UGUUUUUUCCUUGCUUUCUAGGCUGUUUGUGCUUUCCACUCCGUCCAGUACUCAUUUUGCCCUUGUAGCCGCUGGAACUGCCAAAGAAGGCUUAGUCCUACUGCACCCUUCAUUCAAAAAAUGGAAGCUUUCUCCCUGCUACUAAAGAAAAGAACCCAAAGAAGAGGGCAAAGAUGAUGUGUUCUCUUCCAUCGAUGAUACGACCAAGUGUGAGACUUAAAUUAUAAAUAAUGAGUUCUAAUAAAGAGGGAUCAUCCGACCAGGGGUCCAUCCAAUAAAAAAAGAGAAUGAAUCUUCCUGCGGAUCAGCUGCAUUUAGGCUCCCCUUUAUAGGAUUCUAGUGGUUAGCUUCUUUGGCAUCUUAACUUUAUAACAUUUAUAGCCUAUUUCUAAAAACAACGAAGAAUUCCUUGUUGAACCGGCAAAUCGGAUCACUUUUAUCUUCCUCUAUCUCUAAAAGGGCAGGGUCGCUACUUCCUACUAGACACGGAGGAAGAGCAUUGGACACAUGUAAGCUGCGACGGAAGAAGGGGACUACUAAUAUAAAAGACAAUGGGCGCUUAGGUCCCUAUCAUCAGUUGGAUUGCCAAUCAACUGAAAACCUUCUCCCUCGUCGACUUAGGAAAAGAGGCCAAGUUUGGUACAUGCCAAACUUGUCUAUUCGCUUGAAAGCCAACCUUAGGAACCUCAACAGCCUUGACGAAAGAAAGCUGGGCUUCUUGAACGAGAGCUAAUCCGAUCUAGGAAGUUGGACUCACCAGGCCUAAUAGACUCUAGCUUCUCCUUGCUUGAGAAAGAGAGACUGAUUGGAUUGAUAUUAGAGUAAUCUCUCCCUGUAACUACAACUCGAAAUUCAAUAAAAAAAUCAAACUAAGGAUUGCUAAGCUAUAUUCAAGGUAUGUCUAUUGGUAUGCUUGUUGAUUUAUUGCUUUUUUGCUAGGAUUUUUUAAUUGAGAUUUUGUUGGUGUUACAUCUAUAGCACCUCUUUGAUCGAAAGGAAGAUCUAGUUCUUCCGAUUAGAAAAGCUAGAACCAGAACUUAGAUAGAUAGGCCCCCUAGAACCUAUUUCCCGCCCCUUAGUGGCCGAUGGUGAAGUGCCUUACAGGAAGAGGUAAGGUAACGCUCAAUAAUUUCAUAAAAAAAAUCCUUUCAACAUAGUCCAUGCGGUCGGUCAAAUGCAUUUCACCAAGUGGAUAAGUGCCAUCUACUACGGUAUGACCACAUAUAUUUCCUGCCUGCUUGUAGCGCUUACCUGCUUUCACCGAUUGGAUUAAUUGCUUUUACCUAGGACAUGCCCCUGAACUAGUAUCUCUUUUCUUGGUUAUUUAAAUAUGCGAAUCCAAACCCUUUAUUUGUAUUCAUAGGUUCGGUCAUCUUAAUCGGUUCUCGAUUUAUGGUCUAGUAGCAGGAUUUGACCUUCUUAUCACUUUUUCUGAUAUUAGUAAGAGAAUCAUUUAUGUUUAAAAAGAAUAGUCCACUUGAUAAAGGGAAUGCAACCUUAACUCCUAAGCUUUGAAACCUGUCCAAUCCCAUGUCUUAAGCUAAGUGAUUAACCUUUAUAAAGUGCUACGAAUCGAUUCACUCGUCUAUUAGUAAUAAAUCCAAUUCGAACAGAAAGACCCCUACCGGACCGGAGGUUGCCCAGGCGGAUGAGAAGAUCUGAUGUCAAAGACGAGUUUGAUUAGAAUUCUAACUCUGAACGAAGAACCAAGUAUGAUUUUGCAUAAGACCAUUGUACUCCUCGGUCAUGGCUUGAGGCCUGUGAGGGGACUUGGCAACCUCAGUAUAGCUGGUUGGUUCAGAGGGAGAAGCAGAUGUAGGAAGUUAAAUAUAACGCGGUUCAUAGCUUUAGUAGCUGUAGUGAGAGUAGUCGAUCUUGGAGGAGGAGUAGGUCUUGGCCUUGGCAAGCUGCCCUUCCUUCUUGCGGUAAGUCAAGAAUGAAUGUUGUCCCUCUACUUUCUUAGUAUAUCUGUCGCUCACUGAAGAUCAUAAAAUCUCUUUCGCCCUCUUGUCGCUAUGUCUUUCUCUCGUGCUCUCGUCGCUCUGUUUUCAGUCUUUAUGUCCAUCCUUUUUGCCUGAUAAAUUAAGUAACUCAAGCCAUAUAAUAAAGAGAGAGGCUUACCCUACCUGUCGUCUUGGAGAGGGCGGUAGGGAAGUCACUCGAGAGCAGAGGCUUUGUUGAGAGAAUAGGGGCGAUAGCGGUAAGAACUGGUUCAGAAAGUGGGCAGGACUUUUCCCCUUUUUUUUUUAAGGGAUGGAUGAAUUUAGAUAGUGAUGAUGGUAGAGUUUGAACUUUUCCCAACUAAUGCAAGGAAAGGAACUGAACUACUAUUCUCUAGGAAGAUCUUGACUAAGAAAAUUCAGAUAGAGAGUCUAGGGUUGGUUGUACAUGCGACUGAUCUAAGGCACUCUCAGAGUUAGAAGUCUUUUAAGAAGCAGUAGACUGAGAGGCUUUGGCAGAAUGGAUCAUACUUUUAGCUCUCAAGGUGCUUUCCUUGAGCUCCACCAUCCGGGAUGCUAGUUUUUUUAGGAUGAUUUUUUCGUGUAAGUCAGGGGAGUGUUGAGCCAGAGUAGAGAUUGUUCAACAUCGCUGAGAGCAUCCGAGUGAAGAAUUUCUUCAAAUGGCAUGCUGAAAUAUUUUCUGAGUGCUUCUCUUUAUUCUUGCAAGAGAUAAAGACCGGUAGGCAGGCUAAGGUCAGAGAUUCAAUGCCCGAGGGAGGUCCUCGAGACUUAACCCUCUCUGAGAGCUUGGCCAGUAAGCUUUUGGACAUUGAAUGUACACUCGAGGAGGACUGAACAGAUGUAGAGGAUCCUGACAAACUUGAGGAAAGCACACCUUGUUGAAUGGACAUCUGAGAUUGAAGAUGAUGUCAAAAGUUAGCCAAGAAGGUUUAUGGCAAACUGGAAGGAGUAAGAAGGGAUAAAUGAUCUACCUCAGGUCCGAGGAACCUAUAUGAAGAGGACGGUUUUCCCAAUGAUUCGUUCCCAAUUGGUGUCUCAGCUGAUUCAUGUCCAGCUGGUGCUCCUUGACUGAGGAAGUGAUCAACAAAAUUUAUAACCUAUAUCACCAUGCAUUAGGAUAGCUUUAGCUAAUAUAGCAUAGUGGCUCUAGGAUCGUUCACUAGGAAGGGUUUUCAACUCACAACUGAUACCAAUUCAAAGCUGAGUUGGUGCUUUUUCAUUUCAAGGUUAGCUUUAAAAGAAAACAUAAAGAUGUUUAAGUGAAAAGGGUUUGGUCUUAAACUAACCAAAAAGAAAGUAAUGGAAAUUACUUAUGAAGAAAAACAUUCCUUUGAGGUUUGGAUUCACAGGGGAGGUUCCUUAUGCAAAAACAGAGCUCCGGUCAUUUGGUUCAUUUCCUCGCAUUAGAAAAUUAACAUAUAGUCAAUUCUCUAACCGGUGUUGUACAGAUGUAUCCUUUAAAUAGAUUCCAGCUCUAAUUCCCUCUCACUGAUGCAACUUGCAAUGGCUCGUGCCUCUCACCUAGCAUUUUCCAUUCAAAGUGAUCUUUAACUUUGGACUUCCCUUCUCAAGCUCGUAAGAGAUAACUAAUGGAUGUCUCCUUGGAGUCCAAAAGCUUACCAAGUGUUAGCAAUUCUAGAAAAUCCUACCUUCAAGUCCCUUCCCAAAAGCUCGCAAGAGGUAAACUAGUGCAUCUCCAUGGACGGAGAUCACUUGCUUUACCAAGUGUUGGCUCAAGUGAAUUGAAAGUGUUUUAAGUUAACUAAAAACAUAGAAAUCAUUAAAGGAUCACACUUUCUCUUCAUUAAUGACUGAAACCACAAAGCUACUAAUUCUUGCACUUGGAACCUUUCCCGGCAACCUUAACUCCAAGGAACUAAAAGUCUAGCCACUCAUUCUCUGAGGAAACUUCCUCAGAGCUUGUUUGGCUAGUAAGAAAACUAACGAGAAAACAAUUAUAUGAAGGAAAAACAGAGCAAGUGCUCUGUGAAUUAUAUUUCUUUCUUCUGCUGAUUACAUAAUAAUCUUUUGUAAAGAAAAUUACAAACUAUAUAUAUGAGGUUAUUCACCCCUUUGUUCUUACUUAAAUACUAAGGAAUCCUAUGAUAGGUGGAUUACAAGGAGAGUUUGGAUUUAGACAACAAAUAUCUAAAGCAAAAUAUCACAAGAUGUCGGUUGGAAAUAUCAGGAAGCUUCAGGAGAACACCGCAGCACUGUAUAUUGAGAGAAAAACUCUCCGGGUAAGCGCUAUCAAAGGAUCCGGAUAAGUCUGACCGGAGAAGUUGAAACGUCCUCCUCUCCCAUCCGGCUGUGAAAUGUCGGCGGACGAAAUUCCGGAUGUGAAAUGUCGGCGGACGGAAUUCCGGAUGUGAAAUGUCGCGCGCCGUUAGGCUAUCUGGAUCAACUCCAUCCGGAUUCACCCAAGAGGACAUGUGGCGUGCUCCCCUAUCCGGACUCCCUCAAUGAGAAGCACACAGUACUCGUGAACAUCACACCCGGACAAUAGCAUAUCCUAUCCGGAUAUGUUGUUCGGAUCAUUGACUUCCGCUGCCAUCCGAUGGUGUGUCCGAACGCCUUUUACUCCUUGCAUUCCGGAUUUGCUUAUGGCAAAAGACUUCAAAGCUUCGGUUCUUCAUGUUUCUGAGCUUUCCAUUGCUUUGCCAUGGAUUCCAAAGAACUCUCCUCAUUCUCGAAUUGCUUUGGUGAUCAAAAAGCUAUCAAAACACCAAAACUUAACACAAUUUGAUUAGAAUUGAUUGCAAGGGUCCUUAAUAUGUUAAUUGGGUUAAAAGGUGAUAACUACUACUCAAAAGUGUUUAUAAGAGUUAAUUACAAGCUAUGAAAUAGCACUUUUUGAGUAGUAAUCACCCAAGUUUGUCGAACACCCUACGCCCUGGCUAUUCAAUAGGGAGGAAGGUUGCCACUCGGUUCUAUAUAACGAGCAGAAGGUGAAGGCAUCAGCCUAUCUAUAGAAGUCGAACACACUUUGGGUGGAAGGCAUGGAGAAAAAGGUGCUUUAGGAGCUAUGAUACGCUCCGGCACCUUAAUCUAAGGAUGCGGUACAAUAUUUCCGGAUGCAAGCUUACAAAUAGAAGCCGAUUGAGAUUAAAUCGAACUCGCCAAUGAACCACCAAAUAUGACCAUCCUGAAAAACUCUUAAACAUGAACUUUUGAAGCCACAGGGAGUGCACUUGCUUGUUCCCUACACUUAUCUUUCAAAGUUUAAAUAAAAGAGAAAGAGAGUAGGUGGAAUGAGAUCCGACCACCUACCCCAGGAUCUUUGUGGGUUUUUUUACCCGGCGAACGGAGUGGGAGUUUGUUUUGCCUAUUUACUUGAUUGAGAGUGAGUAGUAACUUAAACGGGAUAAAUAUGGAAAGACUCAAUUAAUGAAGAAGAAAUCCCCUCUUAUAUUAGAUAUUUCUUUAUAAAUAUAUAUAUAAAAUUAUAUAAAUAUAUAUUUAUAUAAUUUUCUUUCCCAUCUUUAAGAGAAAGCUCUUACUGUUAUUCUCGAACUCAGAGCCGGGUGAAGACCGCACAAGUAAGACCAGACUUUAAGAGAUUUUGACCGAUAUGAUUAGAAAUUCUUAGGAGCGAAUGGGCAGCGCUCGCUUGGCACACUGAUGAGAUUUCCCCUUUGACAGAUAGCCUUUCUUUAUUUACUACCACCGGCUGGAGACCAUAUUGCUACCAGAGAGAGGAAUGACUAUAGGCACAAAAUUGGCUUUUAACCCUUUCUUUGCAAGCAUGUGAUGUGCUACUGGCUCGAUGGACAAAGUCUCGCGAAAAAUUCGUAUAAUGAUUAGCUCCUAGCCCCUGCUUCUAUCAUUGGUGAUAUUAUCGUAUAAUAUAAUGGAUCACUCCUGCAGGACUUCUUUCUAUCAAUUUAAUAAUUGCAGGUAUAAAAGAAAGGGAUGGAUGGCCGGGCCAUGAGAAGGAAGACUUUUCUUUUUAUUUUCACAUGCAAGUCUAACGUUGUUUUCGGGAAGAAUCUACGCUCUGUAAACAAAGGUCGACCUUUCUUAUCUAAUCGAAAGGCUAAUUCACGAUAGACGAGUGGGCGAGACGGAAAUGGGGUAUUGUUCACCUACAUCUUUCCCAAUGAGCUGUCUAUCAAAUCAUUGCAAUUGAUGCUCGAUCCCGAAGAGAAAGAAGAGAUCUUCGGAAAGUGGGUUUUUAUGAUCCGAUAAAGAAUCAAACUUAUUCAAAUGUUCCUACUAUUCUAUAUUUCCUUGAAAAAUGAACUCAACCUACAGGAACUGUUCAUGAUAUUUCAAAGAAAGCGAAGGUUUUUACGAAGCUUCGUCUUAAUCAAACGAAAUUCAAAUUCAAUCAAUGAAAUACAAAAAACGAGAGGAUGACUCGUAUAUAGCUUUGUAUAACUUUCUCUACUAUUGCCCCUUUCUCUUGUUCUAUUCAUACCUAUUUAUUAUUGCUCCUGCAAAAUCCCAUGUUCUAUAACGACAAAAAUCUAUCUUAUUGAUAUAAGAUGGAUAGAAAAAAGAUCAAGUGAAUAGAUGAAGGAAUUAUAUCUAUAAAUAGAAAAUUCUGACUUCAAUCAAGUGGUUUUUCUUAGAACUCUACUAACAAACACGGGAUCAAGUUUGUUUAUUAUACAUUCUCUUUAUAUUGAUUGAAUAGAUGAUUGAAUAGACUCAAGAUUUUUUCCUACUUUUUCCUUAUUUAUUUCGCCAUCUACACCUUUUUUGUAUCUAUGUAGAUUAUCUAUAUAGUGCCAAUCCAACACAAGUCCUUAUUUUUUUUUAUUUGAAUUUAAAUUCUGAUUUAUUAAAUUUGAAUUUUUUUUUGUUUUGAUUCCGGUUGUAUUCUUUUCUCAGCAUUCAUUCAUAUUGACAACUGUGUAGAAAACAAAUAUAAUUUGAUCGUAGAUAAAUGAAUCUUUUUUUCUCCGUUCCAUAGGUUUGGUUUUUACUUUACCUCAUUCAAAUGAUGGUUUCGUUGUAUUCGUUGUGCCAUAAGCAGUUUUUUCAAUAAAAAAAAAUGGAUAAGAUAAGAGUUGGUCUAUAAAUUUUGACAUUUAUCUAUCUAAUAACUAAGAAUUUCUUGUAUUUUCACCUGAGCUGUUCAUUUUUAUCUUCAAAAUCGAUUAUAAAAUGUGUGUUUUUUUUAUUUUUUUUAUUUUAUUGCUAGUUCAAUGUUUUGAUUGUGUCGUGUAACCCAAUCUCUUUACUUUAUUUGUUUUGAUUCCGGUUGUAUCUACAUACCCUAAUUAUUUUAAUUGAAUUUGAUCUUAUUCGGGUUGCUAACUCAAUGGUAGAGUACUCGGCUUUUAAGUGCGGCUAGAAUCUUUUACACAUUUGGAUGAAGGAACGGAUUCGUCCAUACCAUUGGUAUAGUUUGUAAGACCGCGACUAAUCCCUAAAAGGGAAUGAAUGGAAAAAACAGCAUGUCGUAUCAAUUAUCAAUGGAGAGUUCUGAGAAUAUAUCAUUGUUACCAGAUCGGCACAAAACCUUGUUUGAAUUGUUAAAGCAGAACAAAAUGAAUUCAAAGUUGGGUUGAGUGAAUAAAUGGAUAGAGCCUUAAUGGCUCCAAUUAAAUUAUAGGGAAACAAAAAAAGCAACAAGCUUCUAUUCUUAAUGUGAAUGAUUACCCAAUCUAAUUAGACGUUAAAAAAAUAUUAGUGCCUGAUGCGGGAAAGGCUUCUCCCAUGAGUCAUUAUAGAUUUUUUUAUGAAUCCUAACUAUUAGCUAUAGCUAUUCUCCAUUAUGGAGUGGAGAUGAAUGUGUAGAAGAAGCGGUAUAUUGAUAAAGAUAAUUUUUUCCAAAAUCAAAAGAGCGAUUGGAUUGAAAAAAUAAAGGAUUUCUAACCAUCUUGUUAUCCUAUAACGAACAUAAAUAAAUUAGAUAGAAAAAGAGAGGAUCAAGGGUCCGUUGAUGAGUCUACCUGUCUCCGAGGUAUCUAUUCUUUUUUUAUUAUGAUUAGAAUACCUUGUUUUGACUGUAUCGCACUAUGUAUCAUUUGAUAACCCAAGAAAUACCCUCGAUUUAUUCAAAUCGAAUCUCAAAUGGAAGGAGUUCAAAGAUAUUUAAAACUAGAUAGAUCUCGUCAACAUGACUUCCUAUAUCCACUUAUCUUUCAGGAGUAUAUUUAUGCACUUUCUUAUGAUCAUGGUUUAAAUAGAUCGAUUUUGUUGGAAAAUGUGAGUUAUGACAAUAAAUCCAGUUUACUAAUUGUGAAACGUUUAAUUACGCAAAUGUACCAACAGAAUCAUUUGAUUUUUUCUGAUUCUAAUCAAAAUCCAUUUUUUGGACACAAUAAGAAUUUUUAUUCUCAAAUGAUAUCAGAGGGAUUUGGAGUCAUAGUGGAAAUUCCAUUUUCCCUACGAUUAGUCUCUUCUCUAGAAGGUAAAGAAAUAGCAAAAUCUCAUAAUUUACGAUCAAUUCAUUCAAUAUUUCCUUUUUUAGAGGACAAAUUCCCACAUUUUAAGUAUGUGUCAGAUAUACUAAUACCUCACCCCAUCCAUCUGGAAAUCUUGGUUCAAGCCCUUCGUUACUGGGUGAAAGAUGCCUCUUCUUUGCAUUUAUUACGAUUCUUUCUACACGAGUAUCAUAAUUGGAAUAGUAUGAUUACUCCAAAGAAAUCCAUUUCCAUUUUUUCAAAAAGGAAUCAAAGAUUUUUCUUAUUCCUAUAUAAUUUUCAUGUAUGUGAAUACGACUCUAUCUUCAUUUUUAUCCGCAAUCAAUCUUAUCAUUUACGAUCAACAUNNN